rnacentral:lncRNA from 1 species
GUAAAGAACUCGACAAUCACUCCUAGCACCUCAGGCACCAUGCACAUAACUCAAAACACAUAACAAGCAACUCGACCUUACACACAUAAGCUCGACCACCACAGAAAACAACUUGGCAACCUCACCAACAGCUUGGUCAAGGUCUUAAAACAACUUGGCAGAUAACUUGACCAACAGCUUAAACAACUCGGCCAACACCAGUAAAAAUUUGGUCGGGGCCAAAAACCUAGACCGAUGCCCAGAAACGGGUUAUGAAACCUCAAAACUGAGGUCCUAAACAACUUAGAUAAGAUAGCCUGGCCAACCCAACUGACAACACCCAAUUUCGUCCGGGUGACUGAAUAAUAGGACUUAGUUUUUGUUUUUGUCUUAUUUUAUUUUAUUUUCAUUUUUAUUUUAUUUUUUAGUUUUUUUGGUAUUUGAUUUAGCUAUCUUAUUAUUAUUAGAUUUGAUUUUAUUUUCUAUUUGAAAAAAUAUAUAAAAAAAAUAAGAAAAAAAUGAAAAAAAAUGAAACAAAAAAAGACGAAAAGAAAAGAAAGAAAAAAUGAAAAAAUAGAUUGGAAUAUUAGUUUUGUUUUUUAGUGAAAAAGAUGAAAAAGUGAAAAAAAAAACAAAAGAGAUUUUGGUUGGGAGAGUGCUGCGGGUGCGUGGCAGUGCAGAGUGGCAUGCAACAUUGGCAGGCAGAUUGGUUUUGACAGAGACAGUCCGAAUUGUUGGAGGAGAAUUGGGCAAAGAAAAACAAAACGAUAAAAGGAAUGGAAAAAGGGGGGAGGACAGGGAUCACUCCCAGGCAUUCAUCACUCUUGUUCUAUCACUCUUUCACCUACAACAGAAAAAGAAAAACAACACAAAAGGGACGACGAAGGCACAUCUGAAAACCACCUUCACCACACAUCAUUCACCACUUCCAUCACCUUCACCAUAAUCAUCACUCCUCCAACGCUAACUACCAGGCACCUCUCACAUUACUUACUAAGCAUUCCUCCAUUCCUCCCUUAUCAUCAAUCAAUCUUUGAUUCCUCCCUUCCAUCUGAUUCGAUACACUAAAAACCAGAGUAUCCACUAUUUUCCCCAACCUCAUCAACUCAACAGAAUCAUCAUCCCUGCCACAAUCACCCAUCACACACAUGACAUUCCCUUUUGACUCACAACUCCUCUCUCUCCUCACCCAUAACCAUCACUCACCAGAAAAGCAAAAAGGUUCCUCCUUUCUCUGUAAAUACCAACAAUUCUUAUUCACCAAUCACCAUAACCAUAUUCAAAAACACAGACCACGCCUCUAUCUUUCGGGCACGAAUUCUUCUCCAAAAAUCCCUUUUAUCCAUCAUGAUUCUAACAAGCAGAAGGAGGAGAUAGUUUCAUCUCUCUCGGUUAUCCCAUUCUCUGUUAGCGACAAUUAUCCACACCCUCACCUACAAGAAAAAACAAUUCAAAAUCAUUUUCACACGUCAGCAUCCUAUCCACACAACGCAGCGGCUCCAUCACC